GUGGGCUACGGAGACAUGCGGCCGAUCGGGGUGUGGGGCAAGCUGGUUGGCUCUCUGUGCGCCAUCGCUGGCGUGCUCACGAUCGCGCUUCCUGUCCCUGUCAUUGUGUCUAAU
rfam:Aplysia californica potassium channel mRNA, complete cds.